rnacentral:tRNA from 1 species
GGUAAAAUGGCUGAUAAUAGGCGAUAAAUUGUAAAUUUAUUUAUGGAAUUUAAUAUUCCUUUUACUA